GACGGGAAACGGAACCCGCCGCCUCUCGUGGGGCGAGCGACCGCCGGCAGCCUGGCCGCCCCGGUUCCGAAAGCGCCGCUUCUGCGCGUCCGCCUGCAACUCGAGGAGGACUCCCUUUCGCGUCGCUUCGGACAGAGUUUCUGCGUUGCUUUCUCCUAAAGUGGCUUCCAAAACGAUGUAGAAUCUGGAGGGGCUACUGAUGUUGAGCCAUCUUUUCAUGUGCCCUUAGCCAUUUCUAUAUCUUCUUUGGACAAAUAUCUCUUUAAGUCCUUUGUUCACUUUUUGAAUUAUUGUCUUUUUAUUGUUGAGCUGUAAGAAUUCUUUACACAUUGUGGAUGCCAGCCUUUUAUCGGAUAUAUAAUUUGCAAAUAUUUUUUCUCAUCCUG